rnacentral:lncRNA from 1 species
GUUAAUUACAUCUCCGAAGAGAAAACCCCUGAUUAAGAAUUCCGACAUAUCUAUUACAUGAGAUUGCAACACAUUCCUAUUACAAUAUGCUACAAGAAAAAUCCUCCUUGCGGUCGACGUUGAACUCUGGCCUCGGAACAUGAAGUUUAUAUGCGUAGAUUAUCUUCGACGCCGUUAUGUUUGAUGGUUUUGCCAUAUAUUUCUUUAUCAUGCAAUUAUUUUGUUUGUGCUCAACUUCAUUUAUGUUAUGAUUUAAAAUGAAUUUUGAUGCGGUCCAAGCUUGAUUUGGCCCCCUGUUUUCAGGCAUAGGAUGCAUUCAUGCAUUUUUAAUAUUUAGCGCUCAUAUCAUGGAAUUCAUUUAAGAGAACCCUUGCUUGGAGCAUAAUUGCUGUUCUAUUUGGUUGAUGGUUUAUGCCAUGGAAUUCAUUUUGAAGAACCCAUGACAUGCCAUAAUUGUGUAUUUGUUAUAUGGAUGUUAUAUGCAAUGGAAUUCAUAUGAGAGAACCAAUGUCAUAGCGUAACUUUAUUAUUUUAUGGCUAUGCCACAUAAUUUGUAUGGAAGACUCCAUGUCAUAAGAUAUUUUAUAUAUUUUUUGUCAACUUGUGACUUAUGUCGUGGAAUUCGUAUGAAGGAACCCACGACAUAAGAUACUAUGUAUUUUCUUUAUUUUAUGACUUAUGUCAUGGAAUUCAUAUAAAAAGAACCCAUGACAUAGCAUAAUUUGUAUUUCCUUUGGUUUUAUGACUUACGCCAUGGAAUUCAUAUGAGAAGAACCCAUGACAUAGCGUAAUUGUAUAGUUUCUUUGGCUCAUGGCUUAGUCAUUUUAUGGCUCGCGUCAUGGAAUUCGUGAGAAAGAACCCAUGCACGAAAUGUACUUUCAUGUCAUGAAAUUCAAAUGUAAGGAACCCAUGCGUAGAUCAUUUUAUGAAUUUUUCACACAUGGCAUGUCCACGUGAAGAAAAAAAGUACGUCCUUGAUCCGAACCACAAGGCCGAACCUAAGGGCAUGAUUUGAUGAGUUAUAUGUUCCUUGAUCCGAACCAAAAGGCCAAACCUAAGGACAUGAUUUGGUGAAUUUUAUGUCCCUUGUUCCGAACCAAACGGCCGAACCUAAGGACAUGAUUUGGUAAAUUUUAUGUUCCUUGAUCCGAGCCAAACGGCGGAACCUAAGGUCAUGAUUUGGUGAAUUUUAUGUUCCUUGAUCCGAACCGAACGACCGAACCUAAGGACAUGAUUUGGUGGAUUUUUUGUUCCUUGAUCCAAACCAAACGGCCGAACCUAAGGACAUGAUUUGGUGGAUUUUAUGUUCCUUGAUCUGAACCAAACGGCCGAACCUAAGGACAUGAUUUAAUGGAUUUUAUGUUCCUUGAUCCGAACCAAACGACCGAACCUAAGGACGUGAUUUGGUGGAUAUUAUGUUCCUGAUCCGAACCAAACGGCCGAACCUAAGGACAUGAUUUGGUGGAUUUUAUGUUCCUUGAUCCGAACCAAACGGCCGAACUUAAGGACAUGAUUUGGUGGAUUUUAUGUUCGAUCCGAACCAAACGGCCGAACUGAAGGACAUGAUUUGGUGGAUUUUGUGUUCCUUGAUCCGAACCAAACAGCCGAGCCUAAGGACAUGAUUUUUUGAAUUUUAUGUUCCUUGAUCCGAAUCAAACGGUCGAACCUAAGAACAUGAUUUGAUGGAUUUUAUAUUCCUUGAUCCAAACCAAACGACCGAACCUGAGGACAUAAUUUGGAAAGGAGGAAGAAGCAAGCUCCCUGGCUUGUAUUGCCAUGGCCGAACCAGGGGCUAGAGGAGAACCAUGAAUCUCACCUUCAAACUCCCCAGCAAGUAGAGCGUCCGUCUCCUUCUUUCUAUCCGAUUUGUGUGUGGGAUUUUUAUGGCAAAAUCUGUAUGCGACAGUGGUUCUACGCAGCAGCAAUGGGAUAAGCAACAAAGUAGGAACGGAGCCCUUUGGCGUGAGCGGGAGAAAAAGCAGCUGAUCACCCACCCGUUCAUGUGCUAGCAAUGCGUGUAUUUAUAGGAGCCAGAGAGCAGCGGAGCCCUUUGGCGUGAGCGUGCCCACGCUCCCAAUCGUGGGAUCGUGCAUGGCAUCGUGGGAGCGGCCGGGCAGCUCAUUUCUUAAAUCAAUUUCUUUAAUUAAUUGCGCUUUGACCGGAUUUUGAACCGGCCACUUGACUGUAGUUAGCACAUGCAUUUCCUAUCAAUACGUGGGCUUGGACCCUAGCCAAUCACUUCGGAUGUGGUGAUUAACUGAUGGAUUAGGCCAUCCACGCAACCUUGUAAAUGAGUCUCACGUAAUAUGCAUGCAUAUACGUAGACAUCUUGUGUAAAUGAGCUGGCCUGAUUAAUUGAUUUUUUUUGGUUAAUUCAUUCCAACUUCUUUGUCAUGCCAUGAAAAAAAAGAUGUAUAUGCAAAUAUUCUUUCAUGGACAAUUAUAUGAUAGCCUGGCAUUUUCUUCUUAUUUCCUUAAAUAUAUAUAUGGAUGCACGUCCUACUUUUUAUCCAUCGGAUUGAUUUUUCGCAUGAUCGAUGUAAUAGGCCUCACAUUUGCCCUACGGUCAAUAUUUUGGAAAUAUCAUGAUUUUAUGUAGGCAUUCGACACCCGCCGUAGUUGGCGGCGUGCAUGGAUGAACGUUAUGUGUAAUUUGAAUUUAUUUUUUGUUCCAGUGUGUCAUUUUAGUUAGGACAAAUAAUUCGUGGUGAUUUCUAUUCGUUUUGGAAACUUUACAAAUAUCGGCUUGUUUACUAAUUACUUCUUGUGCCUCCUAUUUUAUAGUGAGCGGUGACAAUUCACCAUGUCGGGCGUAUUUCAGCAUUUUCACCAUUUGAUAAUUUAUUCGGUUAGUUGGAUUAUCUUUUUCUUCGGCCAAAACCAGUGUCAGCACAUGCCCCUCGAGGUCUGGGUCCGAAGAGAUAUUUUGAUUCGGAUCUAGAGCUCGAAACUUGACAAUCUAUUUUAUGCUUGCAGUUUUUUCAAGUCCACGUGGACUCUUGUUUUAUUUUAAUAUUCCCCUUUUGAAGUGUGUGACUUCUUAUUCAAAUGUUCGGUAGCUAUAUGUGGACGGGUAGUCUUUUUUUCUUACAUGAUACAUUUUUUUUAAAUUUUAAUUUAGGCUUGGACUUUUUAGUGCAGUUGAACUUAACACUUCAGAGUUUAAACCCAUGAAGGUUGUUUCAGCUUAAUAUUUUUAGACCAUGCUUACAGUUUAGGCUCAUAUAGCAUUGGAGCAGUUUGUAUGUGUUGGUUUUGGCUCUCGAAGUAUUAGAGUACUGAUAGACAUAUGCUUAUUCAUUUGAUGUUAGGAGCAUUUACUCCUAUACUCAUACGUGUGAACUUCAUUUUCUCAAUGAAUAUUUAAUUUCAAUUGAUUGGUUGCACCAUACUUCAUACUCUUAAGAUGUUGGACUAUUAUUUUAUGUGCCCUAAUUUAUACUCAUGAGGGUAUGGAGUAUUUUUUUGUUAUAUCUAGUUUAUACUCAUUAGUUGUUGGAAUAAUAUUUCUUUUAUCAUAUUUUAGAAUCGUAAGUUUAUUGGAGUAAACUUGUUUUUAUUGCCCCAGUUUAUACUCGUGGGGUUUUGGAGUGUAUGUGUUUAUAUCACAGUUUAUACUCAUAAGUUCAUUGGAGUAAACUUUGUUCUUUAUUGCCCCAGUUUACACUCGUGGGGUUUUGGAGUGUAUGUGUUUAUAUCAUAGUUUAUACUCAUAAGUUUAUUGGAGUAACAUUUUAGGUCUCCUAGUUUAAACUCAUAAGGGUAUGGAGUAUGUUUUAUUUUUCACUUUUCUCUUUGUCGUAUCAAAAUUUAUACUCGUAAGUCGUUAAAGUAACAUUUAUGUGCCCCCGUUUAUGCUCGUGGGAACAUGGAGUAUAUCUUUUUUGGAUCCCCAGUUCAGACUCAUGAGGGUAUGGAGUUUUUUUUCCUUUUGCAUCACAGUUUAGCCUCGUAAGUAUAUUGGCGUAACAUUUUAUGUGCUCCAAUUUAUACUCGUGGGAACAAGAAGUAUAUUUCUUUGGUGUCCCAUUUUAGACUCGUGAGGGUAUGGGGUGCUUUUCCUUUUGCAUCACAGUUUAGACUCGUAAGUUUAUUGGAGUAACAUUUAGGUGCUCCAAUUUAUACUCGUGGGAACAUGGAGUAUAUUUUUUUGGUGCCCCAGUUUAGACUCCUGAGGGUAUGUAGUGCAUAAUGGUUUUUUGGUGCCUCGGUUUAGACUCGUGAGGGAAUGGAGUAUAUUUUCUUUUCUUUUCGCAUCACAGUUUAGACUCGUAAGUUAUUGGAGUAUAUUUUCUUUGAGUGCCCCAGUUUCGACUCGUGGGGGUAUGGAGUGCAUUUGCUUUUUUCUUUUAUCAUCACAGUUUAGACUCGUAAGUUAUUGGAGUAUAUUUUCUUUGAGUGCCCCAGUUUAGACUCGUCAGGGUAUGGAGUACAUUGGCUUUUCUUUUCGCAUCACAAUUUAGACUCAUAAGUUAUUGGAGUAUAUUUUCUUUGAGUGUCCCAGUUUAGACUCGUGAGGGUAUGGAGUAUAUUUAUUUUUUGGAUGCACUCACAAGUUUAUUAGAGUAACAUUUGUUUACAUCACACUUUAUACUCAUAAGUGUAUUGGAGUAACAUUUGUUGACAUCACAGUUUAUACUCAUAAGUGUAUUGGAGUAUAUUUGUUUUUUAAGCAUAGUAACGCUUCAGGAAUUUCCCAUUUAUCGUGGCGGACAGUACUCGCUGUCUGGAGAAAUUAUCCUGUAAGCACCACUAGAGUAGACUUCUUUUACGAUGUAGGGACCUUCCCAUUUUGGCUCAAAUUUUCCUCCAAUCCGUCGUGUAACAUUCAUUGGAUGGAUAACGACAAGUACUAGGUCUCCUUGCUUGAAUGACGUUUUAACACGCAUGUCGAAAGCAUGAGACAUUCUAGCCUGAUAUGCUUCCAAAUUUUCUAGCGCUAGAAGGCGUUUACCCUCAAGUAAUUCAAGCUCACCGAGGCGUAAUUUUAUGGCUUCUUCUUCAGAAAGUUUCUCCUAGUGACUCUGAGCGAAGUAAUUUGUACUUCUAAUGGUAGAACCGCUUCUCCACCAAACACAGGGGCGUAAGGUGUCAUUCCAGUUGGUGUACGUGUCGUGGUCCUUUAAGUCCACAAGGCCUCAAGGAGUUUCUCAUGCCACUCACGCUUAUUCCUUGACAUGACUUUCUUUAACAAUUUGCAUAGGGUUUUAUUAAAAGCUUCUGCUUGUCCAUUAGCUGCCGGAUUAUAAGCCAUAGAAUAAUGAUGAUUUAUCUUAAAUUUUAAACAUAACUUAUCAACAUGUUUGUUUUUGAAUGGUCCUCCGCUGUUGGAGAUGACACGGGAAGGAACUCCGAAGCGAUAUAUAAGUUGUGUUCUUAUAAAGUGUUUCACAUAUUCUCCCUUAUCCUCUUUUAGUGGUAUAAGCUCAGCCCAUUUGGAAAAAUAGUCGGUGGCAGCCAAGAUAAAUUUGUGGCCCUUUGAAGAUGGCAGAUUAAUAGGUCCCACUAUAUCCAUUGCCCACAUUUCAAACUGCCAUGCCAUAUUUGUGGGAUGCAACGAUUCAUGAGGUUGAUGUAUCAAGUUACCAUCUAUUUGGCACUCAUGACAGCUUUUUGCAAAUUUCAUGGCGUCGUCGAACAUGGUAGGCCAAUAAUAACCAAGAUGUCGUGGUUGAUAAUAUAACUUUGGGCCCGAUUGAUGUGCCCCACACACCCCAGUGUGCACUUCAAUUAAGGCUUCCAAAAUUUCAUUCCCUGCCAGACAGCGAAGGAGGAUGCCGUGGAAAGAACAACGAAGGAGGAUGCCGUGGAAAGAACGCCUAUACAGGGUGUCAUUUAUACAUGUAUAGUGGACUGACCUUUUUCGAACUCUAGAUCUUUCUGUCGAGUCUAAAUGUAAAUAUCCGCGGAGCAAGUAUUCCAGGAAGGGGCUUCGCCAAUCUCCGACUUCAAUCUCGUAGAUGUCUGUAGUCAUUGCAAGUGAUGUCAUUGUCUCUUCCUCUUCGGCGAGUAUAGGCAGGAUUCAGCAUUCUACAACACGAACGUCCAUCAUUUGAUGUGAACUUAAUGACAUACUAGCAGCUAAACCUGCUAAUGCAUUGGGCUUUUCAUUGUGACUUCUUAUAACAUGCUGAAUAUUUAGAUCAACAAACAUGGGCAUGAGCGUUUUGGCUCGUUGGAAGUAAGGCAUUAAUUCCUCUUUCUUUACCAUGUAAAUUCUCAUUAAUUGGUUGAUCACUAACUGAGAGUCACCGUAUACCGUGAGUGAAUCUAACCCCAUAUUCAGAGCCAAUUCCAGCCCAAUUAUCAAAGCCUCAUAUUCAACUGAAUUAUUUGAAACUGCUGAAGUUAGGGUAAAGGAGUACGGGAUUAUUCCUUCACUUUGUGCGACAAACACAACUCCCGUACCUGCCCCGGAUCGUAGCAACCUAUGUAGAGAACACAUCUUCAUCAGGUAGGUCAUCAUCUAUUGGGAAAUCAUCGGGUAUUGGAUGCGUGGCUAUGAAGUUAGCUAAUGCUUGUCCCUUCAUGGCCUUUUGUGUCACAAAUUUUAUAUCACACUCUGACAAAAACAUCGCCUACUUAGCUAAUCUAUCUGAAAGCACCAUUUUGUUUAAGAUAUAUCUGAGAGGGUCUGCUCUUGACACAAGGUGUACAUUGUGUUCUAGCAUGUAAUGACGUAAUUUUUAUGCUGCAAACAUUAAUGCGAGACAUAUUUUGUCCAUGUCCGGAUAAUUGCACUCAGCCCCCACAAGGGUGCGACUAAGAUAAUAUAGGGACAUUUCUUUUACGGACUCAUUAUUUUGUGCCAAAAGAGCACCCAACGACAUAGGCAUGGCCGUUGUAUAUAGGAUCAAAGGGGUUUCCCUAACUGGUGCACCCAGAAUAGGUGGAUAUAUUAGAUAUUUUUAAUAUCCAAGAAUGCAUUUUGGCAUGCUUGAUCCCACUCAAAUGGGACACCGUUUUUCAUGAGACGUGAGAAAGGUUUGCAUCUUCCCGAUAAGUUCGAGAUAAACCUCCCAAUAUAUGCUAGGUGACCUUGGAAACUUUUUAAUUCGUGUAGGUUUGUGGGUGGUGGCACCUUAACAAUUGCUUUUACUUUAUCGUGGUUGACUUGGAUGCAUUCUUUGUAACCACAAAACCUAGAAAUUUCCCGGAAGAAACUCCAAAUGCAAAUUUAAUGGGAUUCAUUUUCAAGUUAUGUUCCCUCAAACGCUCGAAAACCAUUUCAAGAUGUUUUAUAUGGUGUUCCUCAUGUUUUGAUUUUACCACUAUGUCAUCUAUGUAACAUUCAACGAUAACAUAAAAUAAUCCAUCUAAAAUUAUAGUUAUAGCUCGUUGAUAUGUUGCCCCUCACGUUUUUUAGUCCAUAUGGCAUGAUUUUAUAACAGAAUAUGCCUUUGGGCGUCCUAAAAGCCGUUAACUCUUCAUCCUCUGGGGCCAUUUUUAUUUGAUUAUAUCCAGAAUAUCCAUCCAUUAAAGAAAACAUUGCAUGGUGCAUUGUAGCAUCAACGAGUAAUUCAGAUAUCGGUAUCGAAAAAUCAUCCUUAGGGCACGCUUUAUUUAAGUCCCUAAAAUCUACACAUACAUGAAUUUGACCAUUUUUAUUUUUAACUGGAACAAUAUUGGAAAGCCACUUAGGAUAUUUAACCUCUCUGAUGAAUCCAGCAGCUAUGGGUUUGUCAACCUCGGCUUCUAUUUUCGGAAGUAGCUCGGGUCGAAAUCUCCUUUGUGCUUGUUUUACGGGUAGAAUAUCAUCUUGCACGGCAAGUCGGCGCACGACCACCCCUCGAUCUAGGCCGGGCAUUUCCUCGUAAGUCCAAGCAAACACAUCCCUAUUUGCUGAAAGGCGAUAUUCCUCUUUCUUUUGUUUGGACAAAUGAGCGCCAAUAAAAAUUGGUCGAGGCUCCUCAAGUGUCCCAAUAUUUAUUUCCUCCGGGUCAUCAAUAGUUGGUUGAUUCCCAUCCUCCAUUUUCGGGGAUGCCUCAGUUGGCUCUGUAAAUUCGGUCGAGGUCAUCCAAACCUCAUAGCCUAGCCCAUGUCUUUUUUCUUUCAAAGGAUGGCCUUUGUGUAGAGCUUCGAGUUUUUCCGGUUACAACGCCUUUUCAAAUGGCGCUCGUUGUCCCCGACCAUCGCAUAAAUAUGGGCCACUAAGAGUGUCAUUGCCCAUUUGCUGCAUCAUAUACAAAACUCUGUUAUCAUACAAAGCAAUAGGCAAUGAAUCAUCAUCUUUAUUCUGCAAGGAGAUAUGCACCGCAUUAUUAUUUUUAUUUUCUCGAUUAGGCGACUCGUCUUUAUUUUGUUCAAUUUUAUGUUGAACCAAAGGAGGCAAGAUAAUAAGCAUUUUGGUACCUCUUUUGAUGGAUGAUUUAUUGAUGACGCAAAAUAUUGGGUCGCCUUCUUUUCUUUGGUCACUUGGUAUGUACUGGUAAAUCUUUCGCCCGGAUGAGGAUUCUGCAAUAAUUUUCUCUACCACAUUUGACUCAGGUACUACUACAGACUUUGGUUUGUAUACUUUUUCAACUGGAUCAAAAUUGAAUUUUGCAUCUGCAUAGAAGGAUUCAGCCAUGGUGAAUGGCCUCUUAUCUGCAAAUAUUCUCACUGUUUUCCCAAACUGCUCUUUAUACUUGACACACUUAUGAAGCGUGGAUGGUACGACUUGAUUUUCAUGUAGCCAUGGUCAGCCAGCAAUGCAUUGUAUGAAGUAGCUGCAUCAAUCACGUGGAAUUUCACGUAUGUGGACAAUGCUUUCAACUUCAAUACCAAUGAGAUGGUACCCAUGGCCUCCUGGCCUGAUUGAUUAAAGUCAUGAAUAACCACAUUUGACUGGCUCAGGUCCUUAGGUGAAUACCCUAUCCUUUUCAACGUACGCAUGGGCAACAAAUUUAUGGCGAAUCCGCCAUUUAUCAUAAUGCGAUUUGUUGGCAAGUCAUCAAUCUCACCAAACAUCAGGAGAGGUCUAUUAUGCUUCUUUGAGCCUAACAACAUGUCUUCAUCCGUGAAUGUAAUAUUUAACACAUUAUUUAGUUCAGCUUCUGUCUGCGAGACAUCCACUCUAUAUUUUUUAGGAAAUGACAAUGCAGUAACUAGUGCCUUACGUAAAUAUGAAGAAAGAGACAAAUCAUCAUACACAGAAAGCAUAGCUGGUAUUUUCUUCAAAUGCGAGAUUACAUCAUACUUGACCGACACCUUAGAGGGCGGGUCCAUUAUCUCAUUCUCGUCUACAUCUUUGUUUCCAGUCUCCUUUCUAUGUGGAGGAUGUGGGUCAACUAACUAGCGACUUGAUCUAAGGUGGACCUGGUCCACUUCUGGCGCAUCUUCUUUGGGGAAAUGAAGAGACUCGCUAUAAUCCUCAAACACAUCGAUAGUGAGAAUGUUGAAUUCUUCACUUGUAGGAACCUUCAUGCGCUUCGUCCCGUGCUGAUAUAUCUUUGGUACGAAGCGCGAAGGAGCAAUAUCUUCCAUCACUCGGGGUAGUGGAUGGCGUUUUGGCCGCUACUCCCUCCAUUCUUGGGGUCCAUGCGAAGCUCGUAGACUGAGCCAUUCAUCAUAUUUGCAGGGAAAGUGAGCCUCUCUUUUACGCUGACUCUGUGACGUGGUCCCAUGACCGUCAUGCGAGAUGAAUCCUGGAGAGAUUAUUGGAGUAAGUUCAUAUCCUGAUGAAAACAUCAUAUCAUCAUAAGUUGGCUUCAUAUUUGAAGGUGCACAACUCACCGAGCUAUCUUGAAAAGUGGCAACAUUUGCUGUAGCCAUCUUCUUCCCAUUCUUUAAACUUUUGAGAAGGUCCGUAUCAAUGGUCCCCUCAUCAAUCAUCUUCUGAAUGAUAUUUUUUACCACAAAGAAAUCAUCAAGUGUAUGGCCUAAUAUGCAGUGGUAAGGACAGAAGUUUGGUGCAUUAAACAUAUUGGCCUCUUCUGGCCUCUUUGACUUAGGAAGCUCUAUAAGUUUCAACUCCCGUAAACCUUUGCAAAGAUCAUGAAUUUCUUCUACAUGGAAGGAGUACUCUCUGUUUUGUUGUUCGAUAAGAGUCGGUCCCCUACCAACUUGUGCAUCUUUAUGUCCUUGGUUCCUUACAGGUGCUCUUCUAGGUUGAAACUGAGACUUGACCGCUCUUGCUUCCCUAACUUGCGCUGAUUUGGGUUUCUCGGCAAUUUCUCUCGUUGAGCCCCCUUUUCUAUAGGCUUGUUGAACGCCGCCUUUGUCCUGCGAGCGACAUGCUGCAUAUAAUUCUCUAUGUCCGUAGCCUUUGACGCCAACUCUUCAAAUGUGAUGGGUCUCACUCCAUGUAACUGCACAAAUGUGAUGGGUCUCACUUCCGAGUGAAGAUUAUUCAUGCACAUGUGCACCGCUUCACGCUCAGUAAUUGGCUGCAGGUAGUGAAGACUCAAAUUUCUCCAUCGGUUUAUAAAGUCAGCCGCUCUCUUAUUGAACCCCUGUUCUAUCUGGGUUAGCUCAGUGAUGCCUAUGGUUCUAUGUGUGCUAUAAAAUCGCUCAAGGAAGGCCUUCUGCAUCUGCUCCCAUGUUUUUAUGGAACUAGGAGCUAGCUUGCUGUAACAAGUAAAGGCGGGACCAGACAAUGUCUGUACGAACUGCCUGAGGAGGAGUGCUCCAUUAUGAGAUGUGUCCUGACAGGCUGCGAGAAAGUGGUCUAUGUGUUCGUGAGGAGACCCACUCCCGUUAAAUUUGCUAAACUAGGGUUGCCGGUAAUUUGCCGGGAAUGGCACAAGAUCAACAUCCGUCGGGUACAGAUUAACAUAUCCAGACCGCAUGGAAUAAUGGGUUUGCAUAUAUUGGGCCUUGACCCCUUCGGCUAUCAUUUUCUGAAUAGCUUCAAGGUUGAUUCCCUCUCCUCCUUGAUUAAUAUUAUGACUAUUGGAGGCAUUUCUCUCAGCUUCUGUACUUGUAUUAGGUACACGAUUGCGUAAAGCAACCAACUCAUCUUCUUUCUGUUGAAGUGAAACUGUGAGUUGUUUAAGUUGUUCUUCGGUUGACUGACCUGUAUUUGUCGUGAGGACCUGCUCUACUCAGUUUACAUUAUGUUGUUGUUCUUCAUGAAAUUUCAACUCAUUUUCAGAAUCAAGCUGAGAAUCUUUCAACAGAAGACGAGACCCUAUACAAUCUGAAUCUUGGUCUUCGUUGCUUGAAUCUUUUUGACUGCGAGUUACAGGACGAUGGCCUGGUACAACAUUUUUCUUGGCUUUCUUUCUCUUGAAAUGUACUAAAGUUGAUGAUGUUUCACUGUUGCUGUCCGCUUCCUCCGUGAUACCAACUGGCAAAGAAUUAAACACCUCAAAUUUGUUACUUGAGGCUCUCUUAAGAGCUGGCCAUGGAGUGAGCAUUGGGGCAACUCCCCUUGCUGUAUUUUCUAAAUUCUUGCUCACGUGUUCACUACCAGCUUGACUUGAUGUUGGAGAAUAUCGGCCAUCUGUCCUGCUGUAUCCAGAGUCAGCUCGCACUGCCAUUUCUUUUCUCUUCAGAGCAGCACGUUUUGCACUUGCACGACCUGCAUGGGUGACAUAUCCUUGCCGCUUGGGAUUUUCCUUUACAAACUCUUCAUAUUCUGGCAUUUUGGCGAGAAUCUGUGCGCGCCGCAUAAUUGCGCCGCCUUCAUCAUCUGCUGACAUGGAACAGCCAGGCAACAUGUUUCUCAGUGUUUCAGACAUUUUCUCUGAUAAUAUUUUGUGAAAAUCCAUGUGACGCCUUCCACGAAUUACUGCAUUAGUCUUCAUAUCUCUGUCUAUCAUGGCACCAAUGACUUGCUGCCGUUGAUGCCUUGCUUGGUUGGAAUCAAUUGCUGUUGGCAUAUCAAACCACGCCCGAUGAGCUCGCUGUCGUCGGCGACGGUGACAAACAGGAUCAUGGGAAACUUCAAAUGACGGUCGUGGCAUUGGCACCGAUGAUGAUAGAGGAUCCGUGAUUGUGGCGGUUGGAUCAACAUGGCCUGUCCUUAUGUCGCUCGGAGUGAGGUAUACUCCUUUCCACAUGAGCGAGCGUUUGCUGUUUGGCUCCGCGUAUGUGGGGAAGAACUCGGGAGCAUCAACCCGAAGUUGUCCAUAUGGCCGAGGAGCCUCCUGGUGCCGCAACUCACAUCCUUCUCAUGGCUGACUUAGAGAGGACAGGAAUAAAUCCAUCUUUCGGUGCUGAAGAGACCUCUUUUUCUUUCUCAGGUUCACUUGGUGAUGCAGCUGUAGUCUUCCAGCUCUCACUAACUAAAGCCACAAGUGGACCGAUUGGCACAUCCAGCCAGAGGUCACCAAAGCGGAGAGUGACAAACUGCUGAACCUGUCCCUCCAUACCUUUAAAAUAAAGAAAUCCAUAUAUAAGUUUUCUUCAUCUAUAUUUUUUUUGUAUAUGGGUACGAAACAUUUUACGCUUAUGUACUAUGGAAAUUCAUAUGUUGCAAUCUUUUGUUGGAAUUCAAAUAUGAGGGGAGAAUUAGGUCCCACCGGGCGUGCCAGAAUCUGAUGACGGGAAAAUGGCGAGGCAUGAAAACACGCGCCCACGUCAUUGAUACAGAGUGAAUAAAAUAUAGUGCAUACAAUAUACAAAAUAAAGAUCAAACAUUGAAGGUACAUAUUUCCAGAAUUCUUAUAUUUACAUAAAAAUUCUAUUAAUUACAUCUCCGAAGAGAAAACCCCUGAUUAAGAUUUCUGACAUAUCUAUUACAUGAGAUUGCAACACAUUUCUAUUACAAUAUGCGACAAGAAAAAUCCUCCUCGCGGUCGACGUUGAAGUUUAUCUGCGUAGAUUAUCUCCGACGCCGUUAUUUUUGAUGGUUUGCCAUAUAUUUCUUUAUCAGGCAAUUAUUUUGUUUGUGCUCAACUUCAUUUAUGUUAUGAUUUAAAAUGAAGGUUGAUAUGGUCCAAGCUUGAUUUGGCCCCCUGUUUUCAAGCAUAGGAUGCAUCCAUGCAUUUUAUAUUUAACGCUCAUAUCAUGGAAUUCAUUUCAGAGAACCCCUGCUUGGAGCAUAAUUGUUGUUCUAUGUGGUUGAUGGUUUAUGCCAUGGAAUUCAUUUUGAAGAACCCAUGCCAUGGUAUAAUUGUGCAUUUAUUAUAUGGAUGUUGUAUGUUUUAUAUAUUUUUUGUCAACUUGUGACUUAUGCCGUGGAAUUCGUAUGAAGGAACCCACGAUAUAAGAUACUAUGUAUUUUCUUUAUUUUCUGACUUAUGUCAUGGAAUUCAUAUGAGAAAAACCCAUGAUAUAGCAUAAUUUGUAUUUCCUUUGGUUUUAUGACUUAUGCCAUCGAAUUCAAAUGAGAAGAACCCAUGACAUAGCGUAAUUGUAUAUUUUAUUUGGCUCAUGGCUUAGUCAUUUUAUGUCUCACGUCAUGGAAUUUGUGAGAAAGAACCCAUGCACGAAAUGUACUUUCAUGUCAUGGAAUUCAAAUGUAAGGAACCCAUGCGUAGAGCAUUUUAUGAAUUUUUUCACACAUGGCAUGUCCACGUGAAGAAAAAAAAGUACGUCCUUGAUCCGAACCACAAGGCCGAACCUAAGGGCAUGAUUUGAUGAGUUAUAUGUUCCUUGAUCUGAACCAAAAGGCCGAACCUAAGGAUAUGAUUUGGUGAAUUUUAUGUCCCUUGAUCCGAACCAAACGACCGGACCUAAGGACAUGAUUUGGUGAAUUUUAUGUUCCUUAAUCCGAACCUAAGGACAUGAUUUGGUGAAUUUUAUCUUCCUUGAUCCAAACCAAACGGCGGAACAUAAGGACACGAUUUGGUGGAUUUUAUGUUAAUUGAUCCGAACCAAACGACCGAACCUAAGGACAUGAUUUGGUGGAUUUUAUGUUCCUUGAUCCGAACAAAAGGGCCGAACCUAAGGACGUGAGUUGGUGGAUUUUAUGUUCCUUAUCUGAACCAAACGGCCGAACCUAAGGACGUGAUUUGGUGAAUUUUAUGUUCCUCGAUCCGAACCAAACGGUCGAACCUAAGGACAUGAUUUGGUGGAUUUUAUGUUCCUUGAUCCGAACCAAACGGCCGAAUCUAAGGACAUUAUUUGGUGGAUUUUAUGUUUCUAGAUCCGAACAAACGGCCGAACCUAAGGACUUGAUUUGGUGGGUUUUAUGUUCCUUGAUCCGAACCAAACGGCCGAACCUAAGAACACGAUUUGAUGGAUUUUAUGUUCCUUAAUCCGAACCAAACGGCCGAACCUAAAGACAUGAUUUGAUGGAUUUUAUGUUUCUUGAUUCGAACCAAACGGCCGAACCUAAGGACAUGAUUUGGAAAUGAGGAAGAAGGAAGCUCCCUGGCUUGUACCGCGAUGGGCAAACCAAGGGCUAGAGGAGAACCAUGAAUCUCACCUUCAAACUCCCCAGCAAGUAGGGCGUCCGUCUCCUCCUUCUUUCUAUCCGAUUUGUGUGUGGGAUUUUUAUGGCAGAAUCUGUAUGUGCAGUGUUUCUAUGCAGCAGCAAUGGGAUGAGCAACGAAGUAGCAGCGGCAGCGUUGGAACAAAUGCAGAGGGAGAAAAGGCAGUUGAUCG